UAGAUAAGCACCUGCAUCAGUUGUAGA
rnacentral:piRNA from 1 species